GUGGGGAAUAUUGGACAAUGGGCGAAAGCCUGAUCCAGCCAUGCCGCGUGUGUGAAGAAGGUCUUCGGAUUGUAAAGCACUUUAAGUUGGGAGGAAGGGCAGUAAGUUAAUACCUUGCUGUUUUGACGUUACCGACAGAAUAAGCACCGGCUAACUUCGUGCCAGCAGCCGCGGUAAUACGAAGGGUGCAAGCGUUAAUCGGAAUUACUGGGCGUAAAGCGCGCGUAGGUGGUUUUGUAAGUUGGAGGUGAAAUCCCCGGGCUCAACCUGGGAACUGCCUCCAAAACUGCAUGACUAGAGUACGGUAGAGGGUAGUGGAACUUCCUGUGUAGCGGUGAAAUGCGUAGAUAUAGGAAGGAACACCAGUGGCGAAGGCGACUACCUGGACUGAUACUGACACUGAGGUGCGAAAGCGUGGGGAGCAAACAGGAUUAGAACCCGUGUAGUCC
rnacentral:rRNA from 1 species